rnacentral:siRNA from 1 species
GCCACCUAUGUCAUCAAAGUGCA